rnacentral:rRNA from 1 species
ACCAAGGAGUCUAGCAUGUGCGCGAGUCAUUGGGACUUAACUAAACCUAAAGGCGAAAUGAAAGUGAAGGUCCGCCUCGCGCGGACCUAGGGAGGAUGGGCCCACCCAAGGGGGGCCCCGCACUCCCGGGGCGUCUCGUUCUCAUCGCGAGAGGAGGCGCACCCAGAGCGUACACGCUGGGACCCGAAAGAUGGUGAACUAUGCCUGGUCAGGACGAAGUCAGGGGAAACCCUGAUGGAGGUCCGUAGCGAUUCUGACGUGCAAAUCGAUCGUCGGAACUGGGUAUAGGGGCGAAAGACUAAUCGAACCAUCUAGUAGCUGGUUCCCUCCGAAGUUUCCCUCAGGAUAGCUGGCGCUCGCCGCGCGCGAGUCUCAUCCGGUAAAGCGAAUGAUUAGAGGCAUUGGGGUCGAAACGGCCUCAACCUAUUCUCAAACUUUAAAUGGGUGAGAUCUCCGGCUUGCUCGAACAAGUGAAGCCGCGAGAUUUCGGAUCAGAGUGCCAAGUGGGCCACUUUUGGUAAGCAGAACUGGCGCUGUGGGAUGAACCAAACGCAGAGUUAAAGCGCCCAAAUCGACGCUUAUGGGAUACCAUGAAAGGCGUUGGUAACUUAAGACAGCAGG